UGGUAAAUGAUGACACCCACAAACGCAUUCCUUGGAAAAUCUGAACAAAAUGAGUGAGACCUCACUACGGUCUCCUCAUCGCAAACUGAGGUCC
rnacentral:snoRNA from 1 species